UACAGAGGGGGCAAGCGUUGUUCGGAAUUACUGGGCGUAAAGCGCGCGUAGGCGGACCUGCAAGUCGGGGGUGGAAAGCCCGGAGGCUCAACCUCCGGAACUGCCUUCGAUACUGCGGGUCUCGAGUCCGGGAGAGGUGAGUGGAACUCCGAGUGUAGAGGUGAAAUUCGUAGAUAUUCGGAAGAACACCAGUGGCGAAGGCGGCUCACUGGCCCGGUACUGACGCUGAGGUGCGAAAGCGUGGGGAGCAACAGGGAUUAAGA
rnacentral:rRNA from 1 species